UGCAAAUCCGAAUAUUUUUAAUUCUUGUCUUUUUACUUCUUUGCCCCCCUUUCACUUUCUUCUGCUCCUAUCGUCUCCCCCUUUUUUUUUCCAUACCUUUCGAUAUCUGAAUCCUAACACAAUUUCCUAAUGUUCAAGAAAAAAGAAUAUUCGUUGAUAUAUAAAACAACUUUAAUUAUCAUUCUUUAAGUCAUUUCAUGUUUAUUAUUUUAAUUUUAGCUUCUCUUUUGAAUGCUUAGAGGCACUUUUUUUCCUUCCCUGUUAAUUUUUUGCAUUCCUUUUCUCUCUUCUCUUUUUCUAUUUACCUUUUAACACUAGCACUGCUUUAUCCCAUGCAACCCUUAAAUGUUCGAAUCGAUAGAUAAUAGAAGAAUCAUGUAAAGACUAAAAGGUGAUUUUUCUCCCUUUUUUUUUUUUUUUUUUUUUUAAACGACUUUUAUUGUAUUGUCAUUUUGCAAAGUGAAACCAAUUUUAUUUCUAUUGACCCACCACUACUUUUACUAAAACAACAAUAACAUUAAUUCCACAAUUUUUUUUUUUUUACCAUCUCCUUUAAAUCAAAAUCCAGGCUAAACCAUUCACACCACCUCUUUUCAUCUCUUCGUUUUCCUUCCGCUUUUUUGUCUCCGUCGCUAACGGGAUCUCUCAUUUGUUUACUGGUUAUUCCUUCAUUCAUCAACAUCACACUGUCUUUCUUUCCACCACUCACCAUGCCAAGUGCCUGAAUUCAUCUGAACCGUUUCUGUUUUUUGCAUGUUAUUUUAGGGAUCGUAUUUCCAUAUCUUUUCUUUCUCAUUUAUUUCCAAUUUUACAUCUUUCCUUUGAUUAUUUACUUUAUAUAUAUGGACAGAUCGACAUACUAACGUGCACUUACCGCUUCUAGUUAGUCUCCAGUGUGUGACCUUUUCGUCAUUACUUUGGUACAUUUCCCUUCCAUCGGAAAAGUAAGCUACU